AUUGAACGCUGGCGGCAGGCUUAACGCAUGCAGGUCGAGCGGAGAGAGGUAGCUUGCUACUGAUCUUAGCGGCGGACGGGUGAGUAAUGCUUAGGAAUCUGCCUAUUAGUGGGGGACAACAUUUCGAAAGGAAUGCUAAUACCGCAUACGUCCUACGGGAGAAAGCAGGGGAUCUUCGGACCUUGCGCUAAUAGAUGAGCCUAAGUCGGAUUAGCUAGUUGGUGGGGUAAAGGCCUACCAAGGCGACGAUCUGUAGCGGGUCUGAGAGGAUGAUCCGCCACACUGGGACUGAGACACGGCCCAGACUCCUACGGGAGGCAGCAGUGGGGAAUAUUGGACAAUGGGCGCAAGCCUGAUCCAGCCAUGCCGCGUGUGUGAAGAAGGCCUUAUGGUUGUAAAGCACUUUAAGCGAGGAGGAGGCUACUUUAGUUAAUACCUAGAGAUAGUGGACGUUACUCGCAGAAUAAGCACCGGCUAACUCUGUGCCAGCCGCCGCAGUAAAAC
rnacentral:rRNA from 1 species